rnacentral:rRNA from 1 species
CUUAAAUUGAAGAGUUUGAUCAUGGCUCAGAUUGAACGCUGGCGGCAGGCCUAACACAUGCAAGUCGAGCGGAAACGAGUUAUCAGAACCUUCGGGGAACGAUAACGGCGUCGAGCGGCGGACGGGUG